UUUAAGUGAAGAGUUUGAUCCUGGCUCAGAGUGAACGCUGGCGGUAGGCCUAACACAUGCAAGUCGAACGGCAGCACAGAGGAGCUUGCUCCUUGGGU
rnacentral:rRNA from 1 species